UACGAAGGGUGCAAGCGUUACUCGGAAUUACUGGGCGUAAAGCGUGCGUAGGCGGUUUGUUAAGUCAGAUGUGAAAUCCCCGGGCUCAACCUGGGAACUGCAUUUGAAACUGGCAGGCUAGAGUACGGUAGAGGGUGGUGGAAUUCCCGGUGUAGCGGUGAAAUGCGUAGAGAUCGGGAGGAACAUCCGUGGCGAAGGCGGCCACCUGGACCAGUACUGACGCUGAGGCA
rnacentral:rRNA from 1 species